rnacentral:ncRNA from 2 species
CUUCAUACGGGUUAAACAGGUGCUAUGCCUAUCGAUACAGAUAGAUAGCUUAAAAGGGAAGUCGGUGCAAAUCCGACACGGUUCCCGCCACUGUAAUUCGGAGCGGCCUGCGGAAUGCCACUGCUUUUAUGACAAAAGCGGGAAGGCGCAGGCAGCAAGGAAGAUAAGUCAGGAGACCUGCCUGUUUAACAAAACACGA